GUGCACAAGUUGCAUUGGGUCUGCCAGGUACUGUGCUUGGCUUUUAUCCAAUCAAAGUUCUUUCUUCUGAAGACUGCAAUUGAGUGUUGAGAGAAAACUGGGUUUAGCUGGUAGAGAUGAAAGUCUCUACACUCCACUACUGUCAGUUCUAUCAAAUUCAAGCUUCUCAGAAAGGUAUUUAGUGAUUCGAACACCUUUGUUCCAAGGAAGCUUGUUCGGGUGAUGAUCUAUUCACCUUUGAUCACUCCAAUUCACGUCAUAUAUACAGUAAUGCACAUAUGCUAAGAUGGUGCACAAGUUGCAUUGAGUCUGCCAGGUACUGUGCUUGGCUUUUAUCCAAUCAAAGUUCUUUCUUCUGAAGACUGCAAUUGAGUGUUGAGAGAAAACUGGGUUUAGCUGGUAGAGAUGAAAGUCUCUACACUCCACUACUGUCAGUUCUAUCAAAUUCAAGCUUCUCAGAAAGGUAUUUAGUGAUUCGAACACCUUUGUUCCAAGGAAGCUUGUUCGGGUGAUGAUCUAUUCACCUUUGAUCACUCCAAUUCACGUCAUAUAUACAGUAAUGCACAUAUGCUAAGAUGGUGCACAAGUUGCAUUGAGUCUGCCAGGUACUGUGCUUGGCUUUUAUCCAAUCAAAGUUCUUUCUUCUGAAGACUGCAAUUGAGUGUUGAGAGAAAACUGGGUUUAGCUGGUAGAGAUGAAAGUCUCUACACUCCACUACUGUCAGUUCUAUCAAAUUCAAGCUUCUCAGAAAGGUAUUUAGUGAUUCGAACACCUUUGUUCCAAGGAAGCUUGUUCGGGUGAUGAUCUAUUCACCUUUGAUCACUCCAAUUCACGUCAUAUAUACAGUAAUGCACAUAUGCUAAGAUGGUGCACAAGUUGCAUUGAGUCUGCCAGGUACUGUGCUUGGCUUUUAUCCAAUCAAAGUUCUUUCUUCUGAAGACUGCAAUUGAGUGUUGAGAGAAAACUGGGUUUAGCUGGUAGAGAUGAAAGUCUCUACACUCCACUACUGUCAGUUCUAUCAAAUUCAAGCUUCUCAGAAAGGUAUUUAGUGAUUCGAACACCUUUGUUCCAAGGAAGCUUGUUCGGGUAAUUUUGUCUUUUUUUUUUUUUUUUUUUUUUUUUUUUUUUGGUGGAAUGAUAAUUGAAUAUUUCUAAAAAAUUUUAGUAAAUGAAUCAAGGGGUCUUUUUAAAAAUAAUUUGAAACUUUAAAUUUGGGGGUUAUUUUAACAAUUUUAAUUUUAAACCUGGGAUAUUAUGCAUUUAUGCUGUCAAAUAAUAUUAUGUUCUUCUAUGAUACUGAAAAUAAUAGCUCUGUCACCCCACAAUUUCUAUGUUACUGCUGGAGUUAUGUUAUUUUGAUGUUAAUUUCUCAUUAUUUUAAUUUAUGUAUAUGUUAUUUUGAAAUAAGUACAUGUUAUUGUAUACUUGCAUGUUGUUUUUUUUAUCAU